rnacentral:rRNA from 1 species
UACGGAGGGUGCAAGCGUUGUUCGGAAUUAUUGGGCGUAAAGAGCGUGUAGGCGGCCGGGUAAGUCAGGUGUGAAAUACCUUGGCUUAACCAAGGAAGUGCAUUUGAAACUACUCGGCUUGAGUACGGGAGGGGAAAGCGGAAUUCCCGGUGUAGAGGUGAAAUUCGUAGAUAUCGGGAGGAACACCGGUGGCGAAGGCGGCUUUCUGGACCGAGACUGACGCUGAGACGCGAAAGCGUGGGGAGCAAACAGG